AGUCUUAUAUUCAAAAAUGAUAUUAAAUUGCAAAUUUAAAGGAGAGGGUACUCUAAGACUU
rnacentral:tRNA from 1 species